UCCGGAGGAUCCGAGCGUUAUCCGGAUUUAUUGGGUUUAAAGGGUGCGUAGGCGGCGAGUUAAGUCAGCGGUAAAAGCCCGGGGCUCAACCCCGGCCCGCCGUUGAAACUGGGGAUCUAGAGUGUGCGAGAGGUAUGCGGAAUGCGUGGUGUAGCGGUGAAAUGCAUAGAUAUCACGCAGAACCCCGAUUGCGAAGGCAGCCUGCCGGCCCCACACUGACGCUGAGGCACGAAAGCGUGGGUAUCGAACAGG
rnacentral:rRNA from 1 species